rnacentral:rRNA from 1 species
UACGGGGGGGGCAAGCGUUGUUCGGAAUUACUGGGCGUAAAGGGCUCGUAGGCGGCCAACUAAGUCAGACGUGAAAUCCCUCGGCUUAACCGGGGAACUGCGUCUGAUACUGGAUGGCUUGAAUCCGGGAGAGGGAUGCGGAAUUCCAGGUGUAGCGGUGAAAUGCGUAGAUAUCUGGAGGAACACCGGUGGCGAAGGCGCCGCUCUGGGCCGUGACUGACGCUGAGGAGCGAAAGCGUGGGUAGCAAACAGG